rnacentral:rRNA from 1 species
AGAGUUUGAUCAUGGCUCAGAAUGAACGCUGGCGGCGUGCUUUACACAUGCAAGUUGAGCGAGGCCGGUAGCAAUACCGAGUCGAGCGGCGAACGGGUGAGUAACGCGUGGAUAACCUGCCCUGAGGUGGGGAAUAACCCGGGGAAACUCGGGCUAAUACCGCAUGAUACCGAGAGGUCAAAGAGGGCUCGCAAGGGCUCUUGCCACAGGAGGGGUCCGCGUUCGAUUAGCUAGUUGGUAGGGUAAUGGCCUACCAAGGCGACGAUCGAUAGCCGGCCUGAGAGGGUGAUCGGCCACACUGGAACUGAGACACGGUCCAGACUCCUACGGGAGGCAGCGGUGGGGAAUUUUGCGCAAUGGGCUAACGCCUGACGCAGCAACGCCGCGUGGAGGAUGAAGGUCUUUGGAUUGUAAACUCCUGUCAGCAGGGAAAAAGGGAAGGGACCUAAUACGUUCCUGACUUGAUUGUACCUGCAGAGGAAGCCCCGGCUAACUCUGUGCCAGCAGCCGCGGUAAUACAGAGGGGGCAAGCGUUAUUCGGAAUUAUUGGGCGUAAAGGGCGCGUAGGCGGCUUUUCAAGUGACGGGUGAAAUCCCUCGGCUUAACCGAGGAACUGCCUGUCAGACUGGAAGGCUUGAGACCGGGAGAGGUGAGUGGAAUUCCCAGUGUAGCGGUGAAAUGCGUAGAUAUUGGGAGGAACACCAGUGGCGAAGGCGGCUCACUGGACCGGAACUGACGCUGAGGCGCGAAAGCGUGGGGAGCAAACAGGAUUAGAUACCCUAGUAGUCC